GAUCCUAGCUCAGGAUGAACGCUGGCGGCGUGCCUAACACAUGCAAGCCGAACGAAGCUUGACGGAUGAUUUCUUCGGAAUGAAACCAGAUAUGACUUAGUGGCGGACGGGUGAGUAACACGUGAGCAACCUGCCUUUCAGAGGGGGAUAACGGCUGGAAACGGUCGCUAAUACCGCAUGAUGUGUUCGGAUGGCAUCAUCUGAACAUCAAAGAUUUAUCGCUGAAAGA
rnacentral:rRNA from 1 species